CCCUUAGAUGUUCGGAGCUGCACGCGCGCUACACUGAAGGAAUCAGCACGUCUUUCUCCUUGUCCGAAAGGACUGGGUAACCCGCUGAACCUCCUUCGUGCUAGGGAUUGGGGCUUGUAAUUCUUCCCCAUGAACGAGGAAUUCCCAGUAAGCGCGAGUCAUAAGCUCGCGUUGAUUACGUCCCUGCCCUUUGUACACACCGCCCGUCGCUACUACCGAUUGGAUGGUUUAGUGAGAUCCUCGGAUUGGUCCCGGAGCGGCCUCUGGUCGUGCCGGAGUGCCGAAAAGAAUGUCGAACUUGAUCAUCUAGAGGAAGUAAAAGUCGUAACA
rnacentral:rRNA from 1 species